GCAACCGAGCCCAGAGAUGGAUCCCAAAGCUGAAGAAUUGGUUUAAUUAAAUUGAAAGCUCUGGUGCUUGUGGUAAUUGCUAUGAAGGAAUCCAUAUCCCAUCAGAACCCUCUCCCCUGGAGUUUGCUCCCUCUACUUUCUCUGCAGCAGCCUGCCAGCCAGAGUCAGACUGUGUGCAUUUGAAAUCUCCAACCUUUUAAAACAUUACUGUGAAGUUGAAAGUUCCUGGUGUCUUUUGAUUAAACAUUGUGCUAGCAACAAUAAUAUUGACCACAUUUGAGACAGAAGAGCCACAAGAAGGAAUUAGCCUAAAUUCCUAAGUGCCCAUCUGGAAAGGAUCCUCCUUGGAAGAUCUGUCAGAUCCAUAGUAAACUUUGAAUGAAACAGAAAUAAAAUGUUAUGUGUUAAAGUU
rnacentral:antisense_RNA from 1 species